UCCACUCACCGCAGACUUCGCGCUCGGGAAGACGGGCAACCGCUCUGCGGUUGCACUCACCAGAGAAGCCGUCGCCGCCGCGCGACUGUAAAGGCGGAGCCGAAUUGAGCGCCGGCCACUGCGGCGUAUCCCGCGCAAGGCGGGAGGCCGUGGGAAGGUCGUGCGCCUGCCCGGCGAAACCGGGGACAGCAGUGCCGCCAAGCCAGGAGACCGGCGAAGUCUGCAGCCCGCAC
rnacentral:ncRNA from 2 species